UUAGUCUUUGUUCAGACUACGGAGCGAGCAAUACUUCGGGCGAUAAAAUCAGAGCGCUGAUUUUUACACAGAACGUACGCAUAGUUUUGAGGGGAAAGAAAUCCCAACUAAAGCAAGACAGCCUUCUUUUUGUACUUUUUUGUGUGGUUUUUGCUUUUUUUGUUGCCGAGAAAUUGAAAAAGAUUUAAUUCAAAGUUAACUCAAUCAAUUAAGAAUGACAUAGAAAUGUGAAAAUGCAAAACUAAAUCAGACGUAUUAACAAAAGAUAUAAAUGAAAAAAUCUUUCCCUCUUUCAAAACGAACGAAAGAAAACAAGAAUCAUAAUAUGAAGAAAUCAUAGUCAUAAAUCUAACUAAAGAAUUUCGUUCCAUCAAUAGUUAAGCGAAUCACCUAUCUAAAUAUCAAAUAUUCAAAUACCGCUCGAAGUAAUUUGCAAAACGUACUUGCCAAUCGCCAAAAUAGCUCCUGACUCGAUUUAAGGCUGUAACAUCACAAAAUAAACAUAAAAACUCAACGAAUCUUUUUGCAAUGAAAAACAUGCAUACAUAUCUCAAAAAAAAUCUACUUUAAAAAACAAAAAUUCUCCUUGUAAUAAAUAAUCUACGGCAGUCACUCAUGUGUCGUGGUCUUCUGUGAUAAAAGUGUUGUCCAACAAACAGAGCUGUCAGGCAGGUACAUUGGCGGCGGGCAGGCCGACAGGCGGAUAGACAACGGCAAGCAUUCACAGAUUCAACUUAACGAUCAUUUUUGCCAGCGCGUUUUUCUUUUCUCCGCAGAUAAAUUGAAUUUAAUCACAGAAAAUUACCACGGCAAGACAUUCAAAUUUCAGUGACAGUGUGUGAGUGAGCGCAGGCGCACAUAAGACAGUCAAGUGAAUAACAGAGUGUACGGUCGUGUGUGUGUGUGGGUGUUUGUUUGCAAAUGAUUUGAUUUUCCUGUUUUGUUGUUUUUUGUUUUCGAUUCGCUCAUCUUUCACCGUGAUCCGAGAUUUUAAAAUUCCGAAUGAAAAAAUACAACAGCAAUAACAAAAACAAAUAGCAGCAGACUUAUCUCAAAUCCAAGUAAAACGUCAUCGUCAUCAUCAUUUCAAGAGUGGCUGUCAUUGUUAUCGACUAACGGACAUCCAUCCUAAUCCAAGGGUGUGUGUGUGUAAGGGAGUAAGUGUGUGGCACAAAAGAAGAAGAAAAAAAAAAGAAACGUCAAAUUCAAAUCAAAUUACAAUUAAUUUUCAUUUAAAUGAUGUGCCAAAGUGAAUAGCCCAAAAAAAAAACCCCACUGACGGCAGACUACAGUGAGUGAGUGUGAAUGUAAAGAAAUAAAAUCAAGAAAAUAAAAUCAAAACCAAUCAAAAACGACAAAAAACAGAAAACUACCAUCAAACUACCAUCCUCUAACUGUUAUAAAUUAAAGCGAAA
rnacentral:sRNA from 1 species